rnacentral:rRNA from 1 species
UACGAAGGGGGCUAGCGUUGCUCGGAAUCACUGGGCGUAAAGGGUGCGUAGGCGGGUCUUUAAGUCAGGGGUGAAAUCCUGGAGCUCAACUCCAGAACUGCCUUUGAUACUGAGGAUCUUGAGUUCGGGAGAGGUGAGUGGAACUGCGAGUGUAGAGGUGAAAUUCGUAGAUAUUCGGAAGAACACCAGUGGCGAAGGCGGUUCACUGGCCCGGUACUGACGCUGAGGUGCGAAAGCGUGGGGAGCAAACAGG